CCACCACAACUACCACCCACCCCACCAACUACCACCACACAUAAAACUUUCACAACAAGAGCCACUAACAGAGUAGAUUCUCUAGAUUCCUAUUUUUUGUUUCUCUCUCUCUCUCUCUUUACUAUAAAUCCCAAUGAAACACAUGUUAUAGAGUGCAAGUGAAGCCCUUUAAAUGAUCCAGUGUCAUUGCGUGUGUGUGUGUAUGUGUGUGUGUGCGUGUGCGUGUAUUGUGAGUGAGUUGUGUACGGAUCUGCCUUAUCGUGCAUCUAUGCUGCCUUUCUCAGAGCUUCUAAUGUUGGACCUAGAUACACACAGGCACAGACCAUACAGUAUCUCAGUGUGUUGAUGAACAGACUUAUAGCUGGACAGUUUUUGUGGGUGUGAGAGAGAGAGUUCACUGUCUCAGAAGUUUAACACACAACUCCAUCAAUCAGUCACCUUAAUGUUAAGGAAUGUGUGUAACUACUGCUCAGUGAAGCCAGAGCGCGGAACUCACCCUCAGCAAGUCAUUUGUGUUUGUCAGGGCUUACUACUGUAUAUGUGGAAGAAUUAAGGCCAUACAUGUGAAUUUUUUCUUAAGAGGGCAUGCAUAUGAUAUAUUUGUUAGAUGAAUGAACUGGGACAUUGGUUUGGCGCCUGGGGCGUACAGGUGAAUAUAUGUGUUAGGUGAGCGGGGUAUGAGUGGACUGCAUAAGGUGAAUAUAUGUGUUAGGUGAGCGGGGUAUGGUGGACUGCAUACAGGUGAAUAUAUAUGUUAGGUGAGCGGGGUAUGAGUGGACUGCAUAUAGGUGAAUAUAUGUGUUAGGUGAGCGGGUAUGACUGGACUGCAUAUAGGUGAAUUAUGUGUAGGUGGCGGGGUAUGACUGGACUGCAUAUAGGUGGAAUAUAUGUGUUAGGUGAGCGGGGUAUGACUGGACUGCAUAUAGGUGAAUAUAUGUGUUAGGUGAGCGGGGUAUGAGUGGACAUAUAGGUGAAUAUAUGUGUUAGGUGAGCGGGGUAUGAGUGGACAUAUAGGUGAAUAUAUUUGGUAGAUGAUUUGCCCUCAGGAUGUCUGUUUGUCUGACAUCACGUUGUUGUACAGAUUUUAACUCUCUAACAUUCAGGUAGGCUGGCGAUCUGAAGCCUCGCUCUAGUGCUGUAUGUCUGUGACCUCUGACCCCUGGUGAACACGGAUGAACUUCCUCUUUUCCCCUGCUGUUGUUGAUUUCCUCCCUCCCAUUCCAGAUCUGCCUUCUUCAUAUGUGUGUUGAUGAUGAUGAUGCAGAAACUCUGAUGUAAAUACAGUCUGAUCUUAAAUUAUUACUUUUGACAGUUGUCUCUCAUAACUUUGUUUUAUACGUUAGCGUGUUCGUGUCAGCGAGUCAGAGCUCCAUCAUGUGCCAAUCCUCGUCUUCACGGAAGAGCAGGAUUCUUACCUGUGAUGUAAUGGCAUAGGCUAUAUAUAAAUGCUGUAAAUAACAGUUUAUGAAGAAGUAUUACUUGAUUCUAUGUAAUUAUUACGAUGAGGACUAUUUUAAUAAUUCCAUGUUAUUUGCUGUGGUUGUUGUUGAAUCAUCUUGUUCUCUCAUUUUCAUUGUGUUAUUGAAGGACCCAUACGUUGUAGGGCUACAGCUCAAACAGAGGGGGAGAAAACCAAAAUGAUACUUCAACAUUAAAGUGGAUUCUAAUUCUGACAACUGAAGCAAGACUGAAGUUGAGGAAGUCUUUUGUUUUUACUGUAGAAGGUGUAGACCAGUGUUGGUUUGUGUGUCUCUAAAUGCUAUAUAGAUAGAGGGCAGGUAGACCCUUCUGGAAAGAGAACACAAAGAUCACUAUUUCUUGGAAUAAAUUUGGGUAAAGGAGA